rnacentral:rRNA from 1 species
GAUGAACGCUGGCGGCGUGCCUAAUACAUGCCAGUCGAGCGAACAGACGAGGAUCUUGCUCCUCUUACGUUAGCGGCGGACGGGUGAGUAACACGUGGAUAACCGACCUAUAAGACUGGGAUAACUUCGGGAAACCGGAUCUAAUACCGGAUAAUAUAUUGAACCGCAUGGUUCAAUAGUGAAAGACGGUUUUGCUGUCACUUAUAGAUGGAUCCGCGCCGCAUUAGCUAGUUGGUAAGGUAACGGCUUACCAAGGCAACGAUGCGUAGCCGACCUGAGAGGGUGAUCGGCCACACUGGAACUGAGACACGGUCCAGACUCCUACGGGAGGCAGCAGUAGGGAAUCUUCCGCAAUGGGCGAAAGCCUGACGGAGCAACGCCGCGUGAAUGAUGAAGGUCUUCGGAUCGUAAAACUCUGUUAUUAGGGAAGAACAAAUGUGUAAGUAACUAUGCACGUCUUGACGGUACCUAAUCAGAAAGCAACGGCUAACUACGUG